AGACAGUUGGUGCAGUUGGUUCUUGUGUGAGGGGAGGUAGAAGAGUUAGAGACAGGAUAAAAAUAAGACUAAGAAGGUAAAGAGUAACAACGUUUUGAAUGCAGUUGAAGUUUAUUUGUGUCUGCAGUAAACUACACUCUUCUUUGUUAACUUAAGAACCUGAUUGAGACUAAGUGAUUUACCGGGGAGGACCUGGUUGGUGGCAGCGGAUUAGUGGUGUACGGGUCAAUAGUUCGUGAGACAAUUGGGGGCUCCGUACGAACUCCAACCCCCCCCCCCACAUUGUGCCAUAGGGCAUCAGGUGUGGGGUGGCUUGAGGGAAACAGCCUUGUGGGCUAAAUUAGGACCUGUGUGGGCCUCAGCUUGGCCCAUGUGCAAUACCUCUAAGGCUGUUUGGUUUAAUCUGACGUGCGGCCAGAUACUCCCGAGAUAUUUUAGAUGAGGGUGUGAUUUCUGCAUAUUCCUUGCAUUGCGUGUGUGGCACCUCUCAGUGUUGCUGCUGACCUUUAAAGCCCUAAAUGGCCUCUUGGUCCUAUAUACCUGAAGGAGCGUCUCCACCCCCAUCGUUCAGCCCAGACACUGAGGUCCAGCUCCGAGGGCCUUCUGGUGGUUCCCUCCCUGCGAGAAGUGAGGUUACAGGGAACCAGGCAGAGGGCCUUCUCAGUAGUGGCCCCCGCCCUGUGGAACACCCUCCCUUCAGAUGUCAAGGAAAUAAACAACUACCUGAUUUUUAGAAGACAUCUGAAGGCAGCCCUGUUUAGGGAAGUUUUUAAUGUUUGAUGUUUUAUUCUGUUUUUUAAUAUUCUAUUGGGAGCCGCCCAGAGUGGCUGGGGAAACCCAGCCAGAUGGACAGGGUAUAAAUCUUUAUCAUUAUAUAAAAACAAACUUGCAAGUUUGAGGCCUUCAAGAUUUCACUGAGCGGUUUCAUGUGAACUUGUGCCGUGUGCUAUGGGGUAGCUUUUAGUGUCGUGUUAGGGCUCUGCAUUUUGGAAGAGUGUCAAUGGUGAGGACGUACUGUUAUGGCAACAGCUUGUUCACGCCGCCUCUGCCUUCUCUCUCCUGCAUUCCGAGCCGCCGUUCUCUCACAUUGUGCAUGACUGAUGAUGGAAGGCAGGGGAAUCCCUAAAAUAAAACAUAACCCAGUGAGAAGCAAGGGCGAGGAAAGGCUUGAAUGCGGCAGGUUCCAAACCAUCCCCACCAGAGGGCACUUCAAUCCACCAGAGUGUGCUUUCAUCCAAGGAAUCUUCUCUUCAGAUUGCCCUAGCAUGGCUGAUACAUUUCCGCUUGGGCUGAAAUUUCUAAGUUCUGUGCAUCUUGACUGCCCAUUCCACCGGCCUACAAAUUCUCUAUUAUCUGGGUUGUGUUGCCAUUUAAUUACUGACUGCUAAUUCAGGACCAUCCAGAAAAUCCGGUCUUCAGGGCAGGAACAAGGGAGAAAUCUAGUUAAAAUGAGGGCAAAAAGACAAGGAGGCAGUGAGAAGAUUUUAGGUACUGAUAACAUGAUAUGUUUUAUGGCCCUUUGUGUUCACCAGAUCUACAAAUGAGGAUUGAGUAAUGUGUGCUUCGCACAUUAUGAAUGGCAUGGAGAGAAUAGAUAGAGAAAAAGUCCCCCCCCCUCAUGACACUAGACCUCAGGGACAUCCAUUGAAGCUGAAUCUUUGAAGAUUGAGGACACCUGGCUUGCCAGCAAUACAUGUGAAAAGGAUGUAGGGGUCUUAGUGGACUACAAACUUAACAUGAGUCAGCAGUGUGAUGCAGCAGCAAAAAAGGCUCAUGCUAUUCUAGGCUGCAUCAGCAGAAGCACAGUGUCUAGUAAUAGUUGUUGGUGCCCUUAUAAUAGAUUCUUUUAUUUUAUUUGGUUUUAUUGCUAUCUUUCUUUUUUAUUCAGGAUGUACUUUUAUAUCCUGAAACCCAUUUUUAUACUUUUUGUGAGUGUUAUGCAAAUUUUUUUUUUUUUUUGGGGGGGAGAAAAGUAAAAGAAUGGAAACCAACAAUGCAAUACAUUGUAAGGCAAUAUGAAUUGAAUAACAUUUUUUACAAUGGCCCCUAUUCCUGUGGUUAUCCUGCAAAGAAGAUACAAAUUAAAUUUAAUGUUGAAUCACAAACCGCAAAGUUGGAAGGGACCCAACGGUUCAUCUAGCCCAACCCCCUGCAAUGCAAGGAAGCACAACUAAAAAAUCCCUGACAGAUGGCCAUCCAACCUCUGUUUAAAAAGCCUCCAGUGUGUUUUGUGAGAUUGGUUGGUGUAUUAAGUGUGUCUGCUAUUUGUAUGUCCAUUUGCUGAAGUGAAUCUCACUCCUUCUUCCCUCCCCCUGCAGCACUUCUGUAACCUUUGGAGUCAGAAUCUGCACACAACAUCCUGCCAUAUACUCUGCCCACGCAGCCAUCUGUUCCAUCCAACAGCGUUUCGUCAAGUUUGGGUACCACACUGGAAAAAGAGACAGAUUUCUCCUCUUCUCCAGCCCUAUUCUCCUUUGCACUCUGCCUUCCCAGAGUCUUCCUUUCCUGCUGCUGCGCUGAAUGAUCACCAGGGCCCUUUCUUGGGGG
rnacentral:lncRNA from 1 species